AUGUGGUUCUUGUCCUUUCUUUUAUUGAUGUGAUGUAUCACAUUGUUUUGCAGAUAUUGAACCAGACUUGCAUCCCAUUGUAAAUUCGGCCUGGCCAUGAAACCAUUGGAAACACGUAUCGCACACUGAGAUGCAUGGGGCUGGUGAAGUGCUUCUAUUACUAAUUCUAGCUGACGUAUUUGCAAUAGCUCAAGAGCUUACAAAAUAUUUGCCUUAUGAUUCUGAGUAUGUUAGGUUUCAGGAACGAGAAGCAAGCCAAGAUUCUGAGAUGAUAGUAGGUGAUAAGAUAAAGACCGAAAUAAAAGACUCUGUCAUCUUUUA